UGGUCCAUAAGGCAUAACCAUCCUCUUGUGUCAGGGUCGGCUUGGCUUUGGUGUUCUGCUACUUGUUUCUCCUCUUCCUUCUCCCACUGCCUGGGUUUUGUUCCCUCAGCCUCUAAUCGGCUUUUCCGGGUUUGGGUUCGUCUCUUCCUAACUUUACCCUCUCUCGUCGCCACAGGAUUAUCCCUGUCAAAGUGGCUGGACUUCCUGGCUUGACGAUCCCUUUCGUCACCGCUAUCGUCACCUGAGGGUGUCUAUGUCCCACGAUGCAUUGCAAUCUGUCCGCACCCCUGGCCGCCGGUGGAACUGCAGUGACAUCUACUGAGAGAGGAGAGGAGAGGAGAGGAGGCGAGAGGAGAGGAGGAACAUGAAUCACUACAGUAUUGAAGUUCCAACAAAGAAUGACAGAGUGAAAAAGGAGCGAGAGCAAGAACCAAGUCACACCUUGAACCUUUAAUAUUACUCAUUCUGCUCUGUCCUUUAAUAUCAGCACAAAUAAACUUUCCUUUUUUUAAACAA